CGUACGGGUGAGUAACACGUGGAUCAUCUACCUCUUAGUGGGGAAUAACUCUGGGAAACCGGAGCUAAUACCGCAUAAGCCUGGAAAGGGAAAGCGUUGUCUUCAAAAACGACGCGCUGAGAGAGGAGUCCGCGGCCGAUUAGCUAGUUGGCAGGGUAAAAGCCUACCAAGGCAUUGAUCGGUAGCCGGCCUGAGAGGGCACACGGCCACACUGGCACUGAAACACGGGCCAG
rnacentral:rRNA from 1 species